UGUAUUCCUCAACUGCCAUGAUGGUAAACUAUGGCGUCAUGCUGCUGAUGUGUGUUGUAUCGUUGAUGGCUGGGUCGAGCACUCGUGUACCGAUGUCUUCUUGGUAUGGCGGGUACAAAACUGGCGGGUACAAAACCGCAACAUCGCCGCCUUACUACCCCAAAGCAACGCAACGACCAGUUCCUGCACCGAGGUCUACAAGUACUACACUACUAAGGCACCGGAGUUUUAUACCACAACUUACGAUGACCCGAGCCACUAUACUGACGCCCUGAAGUAUUACUCUGCCCUGAGUUACUACACCACCAAGGCGACGGAGCAGGACUACGCAUGCUGCCCCAUCCUACUACACCGAGGCUCCCAGGUGCUACACCGAGGCUCCCGCUGAUUAGUCCACCAAAACGGUCGAGUACUACACCGAAGCGGUAAAGUACUACUCUGCCCCGAUCUACACAACCAAAACUGAGGCGGCCAAGUAUUACGCAGUCCCGACUUACUG